CUUACCCACUUGGACCAACUGUGGCUUCUCAGAAUAGCCAGAACCCACAGAGGCCCUAGUUACUCUCUGUUUGGCAAUAGUUCCAAGAAUUUCUGAGUUUGUCCUCCACUGAUUCUUCCCAGAGUCCUGUCUGCUGGAGAGAAGAAGGAAUGGUGGCCAAGCAAGGGCUUAUCGAGUGCCUCCUGCAUGCUCAAACUCCUUGUGAGUGCCUCCUGCGUGCUCAAACUCCUUGUGAGUGCCUCCUGCGUGCUCAAACUCCUUGCUGAGUGCUCUCCUUGCAUCUUACCUAGCCCUCCAUACUCACACAUGGUGGAUCAUGAGUGGUGCAGACCAGCCUCUUACAGGAAACGGUCAUGUGACCUAGAGAGAUAGACUGUGUUCACCGCCAGAAGCCCAGGCUACCAUGAAAUCGAGACUUUGAGACACAUGAACUGAAAUGAAGUGAGUCAACGCUUUGGUCACAAGAAGAAACACAAGAAGCAGCCCAAAUCCCUUGAUGAUUCCUGAAAUUGUAGCUUUUCUUUGGAGGCUGUUGUAAUUUUCAUGUCUGUUCUUAUUAAAAAUAAUAAGAGACACAUCGGUAAUGCAACUUUGCUAAAGGUGGAUGAAUCCCCGAGGGAGAAAAUGAAUGCUUCAGCGAAGCCUAAAGAACAUUAUUUCCUGUGUCUAAGUCCUCCCAGCCUCUUGCAGUGCAAGGCCUGAAGGGUGCCUCCUCGUUUAUUCUUUGUUAGUAACAUGAAAUAUCAAACCACUUCUAUUCCUUUUCAUCUUUUCAUUUUAACACUGAAUAAGGUCCCUCAGACUUUCACAGCUUCCACUGUCAAGAAUGCCACAUUGUCCAAGAUGGCCACUAGAGCUCUGUUUGUGUCUGAGACAGGAUUCCAGACUACUGGAAAAGUCCCAUUACUAACUUCUUUCAUCUUACUGUCCAUUUCUAUUUGAUACAAGAUGUAAUAUAAUUUGUAUAACACAGUGUAACAAUUCUUUUAAAUUUGGCCUAUUGCUCAAAACUUUUUUGGUUGGUAAUAAAGAAAGACAAGA